CGUUGACCUAUACUAGCCUACAGAGGUACUGCCAAAACGUUGCCAUUUCCUCGUCUUCACGGGCGGCUGGGUUGCCCAUCUGCUUUUCCCACCAUGGAUGGAACGGACACAAAUGUCUCACCCACAGUCAACAAAACCAACAAGAUAUCCUCGAACAUCACAGUACACGUCUUCUUUGGCUUGGCUGUGUCUUAGAUAUCAGAAUACAUUGUGGCCUUCAUUAUUUAUCUCACUCCUGUGGCAAAAAUGCUCUACCAAGAACAACUGAAGAGAAGAGGGCUCAGCUCGCCUUCUCCGGUUUACUCAGUCAGGAUCCCAGCCCAUAGUGCUGCCCACACGUAAGUGCUUCCUAAAAUGUUGUUAAAGGACUGGAGAGAUGACUCAUGGGUAAAGGGGACUGGCUGCUCCUGCAGAGGACCGAGGUUCCAUUCCCAACAUCCAUGCAGCAGCUCACAACCAUCUGUAACUCCUAGUUCCCGGGGAUCCGACGCCCUCUUCUGGCCUCCACAGGUAAUGCAUGCGUAUGAUACAGACACAUGAAGUAAACAUCUAUUUUUUAAUUAAGCUAAAUCUCGUGGACAGGUAAGAUGGGAAGAAAUACAGGAAAUUUGAGGGGCAAGAAGGCCUGAGGAGGCAGAAGGCUUUUCCUUGACUUCCGUAGCAACGUCAGGACUCUCUAAAUUAAGAUAACAAAGACACAGCUUUUAAAAUGCAUUGCCUAGGAAUAAGUGCUCCAAAC
rnacentral:lncRNA from 1 species